rnacentral:rRNA from 1 species
UACGGGGGGGGCAAGCGUUGUUCGGAAUUACUGGGCGUAAAGGGCUUGUAGGUGGCCAACUAAGUCAGACGUGAAAUCCCUCGGCUUAACUGAGGACGUGCGGAAGAAACUGCAAGGCUCGAGUCCGGGAGAGGGGGGUGGAAUUCCCAGUGUAGCGGUGAAAUGCGUAGAUAUUGGGAGGAACACCGGUGGCGAAGGCGGCCCCCUGGACCGGUACUGACGCUGAGGCGCGAAAGCGUGGGUAGCAAACGGG